rnacentral:rRNA from 1 species
AGUCUGAGACCUGAUGCCGAGCCGAUUGUGGUGAAGUGGAUGAUCCUAUGCUGUCGAGAAAAGCCUCUAGCGAGUUUCAUGGCGGCCCGUACCCUAAACCGACUCAGGUGGUCAGGUAGAGAAUACCGAGGCGUUCGGGUGAACUAUGGUUAAGGAACUCGGCAAAAUGCCCCCGUAACUUCGGGAGAAGGGGGGCCAUUUCCGGUGAUGAGUCUUGCACUCUGAGCUGGGGGUGGCCGCAGAGACCAGCGAGAAGCGACUGUUUACUAAAAACACAGGUCCGUGCGAAGCCGUAAGGCGAUGUAUACGGACUGACGCCUGCCCGGUGCUGGAACGUUAAGGGGACCGGUUAGUCAAUCUUCGGGUUGGCGAAGCUGAGAACUUAAGCGCCAGUAAACGGCGGUGGUAACUAUAACCAUCCUAAGGUAGCGAAAUUCCUUGUCGGGUAAGUUCCGACCUGCACGAAUGGCGUAACGACUUCUCGACUGUCUCAACCAUAGGCCCGGUGAAAUUGCACUACGAGUAAAGAUGCUCGUUUCGCGCAGCAGGACGGAAAGACCCCGGGACCUUUACUAUAGCUUGAUAUUGGUGUUCGGUUCGGCUUGUGUAGGAUAGGUGGGAGACUGUGAAGCGGCCACGCCAGUGGUUGUGGAGUCAUUGUUGAAAUACCACUCUGGUCGUGCUGGAUGUCUAACCUGGGUCCGUGAUCCGGAUCAGGGACAGUGUCUGGUGGGUAGUUUAACUGGGGCGGUUGCCUCCUAAAGGGUAACGGAGGCGCCCAAAGGUUCCCUCAGCCUGGUUGGCAAUCAGGUGUUGAGUGUAAGUGCACAAGGGAGCUUGACUGUGAGACUGACGGGUCGAGCAGGUACGAAAGUAGGGACUAGUGAUCCGGCGGUGGCUUGUGGAAGCGCCGUCGCUCAACGGAUAAAAGGUACCCCGGGGAUAACAGGCUGAUCUUCCCCAAGAGUCCAUAUCGACGGGAUGGUUUGGCACCUCGAUGUCGGCUCGUCGCAUCCUGGGGCUGGAGUCGGUCCCAAGGGUUGGGCUGUUCGCCCAUUAAAGCGGUACGCGAGCUGGGUUUAGAACGUCGUGAGACAGUUCGGUCCCUAUCCGCUGUGCGCGUAGGAGUCUUGAGAAGGGCUGUCCCUAGUACGAGAGGACCGGGACGGACGAACCUCUGGUGUGCCAGUUGUCCUGCCAAGGGCAUGGCUGGUUGGCUACGUUCGGAAAGGAUAACCGCUGAAAGCAUCUAAGCGGGAAGCCUGCUUCGAGAUGAGGACUCCCACCCCCUUUGAGGGGUUAAGGCUCCCAGUAGACGACUGGGUUGAUAGGCCAGAUAUGGAAGCGCCGUAAGGUGUGGAGUUGACUGGUACUAAUAGGCCGAGGGCUUGUCCUCAGUUG